GGGGGCGGGUUCGGUAACCAGGGUGGCCUGUCAAGCGUCCCAAGCGGGUUCAACCCCCGUCGCCUCCA
rnacentral:tRNA from 1 species